rnacentral:lncRNA from 1 species
AGGAGAUUACAUUGUUCCUACCACUACAACUAAAAGAUAAUCAUUAAAGAUUACAUGCAAUAAUCUUGUUUGGGAAUAAUUAUUAAAGAAAAGUUUCGUUGAGCUCCAAUAGACGACAUAAUAUACUGGGUUGCGAAUGCUUUUCCAAGUUUCAUAUUCUACUCGUCUACCUACUUACUUUGGGCUUGUGAAUUUGGUGUUUAUGACUAUUAUUAUUUGGUAUCAAUUACUCAAUAAGGCCCAGAAACACAACCCAAAAGGCAUCACAUUUAUCUAUUUUAUUGGUGUUCCCAUGCAGUGAUACA